rnacentral:rRNA from 1 species
GAUGAACGCUAGCGGGAGGCCUAACACAUGCGAGCCGAGCGGUAUGGGUAGCUUGCUCCCCAGAGAGCGGCGUACGGGUGCGUAACACGUGUGCAACCUGCCCCUAUCCGGGGGAUAGCCCUCCGAAAGGAGGAUUAAUACCCCAUAAUAUAUCUGGUGGCAUCACUAGAUAUUGAAAACCCCGGUGGAUAGGGAUGGGCACGCGCAAGAUUAGAUAGUUGGCGGGGUAACGGCCCACCAAGUCGAUGAUCUUUAGGGGUCCUGAGAGGGAGAUCCCCCACACUGGUACUGAGACACGGACCAGACUCCUACGGGAGGCAGCAGUGAGGAAUAUGGGACAAUGGGUGGAAGCCUGAUCCAGCCAUCCCGCGUGAGGGACGACGGCCCUAUGGGGUGUAAACCUCUUUUGUACGGGGAUAAACCUAUCUACGUGUAGAUAGCGGAAGGUACCGUACGAAUAAGCACCGGCUAACUCCGG